UAGUGCGGCCGGACGGUCGCGGGCGAGAAGAGCGAUCUUCUUGUUCGAGGAAAGUCCGAGCACGGCAGGGCAACGGUGGUGGGUAACGCCCACCCGUCGGAACUCGUGAAGGUCGCGAGCCGGCGAGGGAAAGUGCCACAGAAAACACACCGCCGAUGGCGUUCGUUCGCGAGCGCACAGGUAAGGUUGAAAUGGUGCGGUAAGAGCGCACCGCCCGGUUGGCGACAAUCGGGGCACGGCAAACCCCACCGCGUGCAAGGUCAUACAGCCGCCGCGAUGAGACUCACGAGAGUGGGGGCCAUCGACGCCCGGCCCGGGCGGCAGGCGGCGGGUGGACCGCUCAGGCGCAAGCCUGGAUCGCGUCGGCAACGGCGUGGCCAGAGAAAUGGCCGUCAUCUGCCUUGGAGGGCCGUUCGCGCCAAGGCAGAGACAGAACUCGGCUUACAGGCCGCACGCGACC
rnacentral:RNase_P_RNA from 1 species